UACGUAGGGUGCAAGCGUUGUCCGGAUUUACUGGGUUUAAAGGGUGCGUAGGCGGUUUGAUAAGUCGGUGAUGAAAUGCGGAAGCUCAACUUUACGCGCUGUUACCGAUACUGUCAGACUUGAGACUAUUCGAGGUAGCUGGAAUGAGUGGUGUAGCGGUGAAAUGCGUAGAGAUCACUCAGAACACCAAUUGCGAAGGCAGGUUACUAGUAUAGUUCUGACGCUGAGGCACGAAAGCGUGGGGAUCAAACAGG
rnacentral:rRNA from 1 species